GAUGAACGCUGGCGGCGUGCCUAAUACAUGCAAGUCGAGCGAACGGACGAGAAGCUUGCUUCUCUGAUGUUAGCGGCGGACGGGUGAGUAACACGUGGAUAACCUACCUAUAAGACUGGGAUAACUUCGGGAAACCGGAGCUAAUACCGGAUAAUAUUUUGAACCGCAUGGUUCAAAAGUGAAAGACGGUCUUGCUGUCACUUAUAGAUGGAUCCGCGCUGCAUUAGCUAGUUGGUAAGGUAACGGCUUACCAAGGCAACGAUGCAUAGCCGACCUGAGAGGGGGGUCGGCCACCCGGGAGCGGAGACACGGUCCAUACUCCUACGGGAGGCAGCAGUAGGGAAUCUUCCGCAGUGGGCGAAAGCAUGACGGAGCAACGCGGCGUGAGUGAUGAAGGUCUUCGGAGCGUAAAACUCUGUUAUUAGGGAAGAACAUAUGUGUAAGUAACUGUGCACAGCUUGACGGUACCUAAUCAGAAAGCCACGGCUAACUACGUG
rnacentral:rRNA from 1 species